GAACCUUACCUAGGCUUGACAUUGAGAGAAUCCGCUAGAAAUAGUGGAGUGUCUGGCUUGCCAGACCUUGAAAACAGGUGCUGCACGGCUGUCGUCAGCUCGUGUCGUGAGAUGUUGGGUUAAGUCCCGCAACGAGCGCAACCCCCUUUCUUAGUUGCUAACAGGUUAUGCUGAGAACUCUAAGGAUACUGCCUCCGUAAGGAGGAGGAAGGUGGGGACGACGUCAAGUCAUCAUGGCCCUUACGCCUAGGGCUACACACGUGCUACAAUGGGGUGCACAAAGAGAAGCAAUACUGCGAAGUGGAGCCAAUCUUCAAAACACCUCUCAGUUCGGAUUGUAGGCUGCAACUCGCCUGCAUGAAGCUGGAAUCGCUAGUAAUCGCAAAUCAGCCAUGUUGCGGUGAAUACGUUCCCGGGUCUUGUACUCACCGCCCGUCACACCAUGGGAGUUGUGUUUGCCUUAAGUCAGGAUGCUAAAUUGGCUACUGCCCACGGCACACACAGCGACUGGGGUGAAGUCGUAACAAGGUAACCGUAGGUGAACCUGCGGUUGGAUCACCUCCUUUCUAGA
rnacentral:rRNA from 1 species